CACAAAUGAGAGCAUUAUAACUUGACUGCUAUAAUUUUUUUCUACAUAUCUCCCCAUGGAUUUUGUCACUUUGCUUCCCACUGAGUUUGCUUUGCUUGCCCUUUCUAUGCUCAUAAAAAAGCCAAACCUCCAGUAAAGUCUGGAUUGCCAGCAGGUGAAAUGUUUGGCAUCAGAGCUGCCUUAGACACCUCAAACAUCAGUAAGACUAAAACUCUUGACCCACAUCCCGCAGAGUGUGAAACAGUAGCAUUCAUAACUACUACACUUUGAUUAGGAAAUCUGUUCUUUUAACAGUCAGCAGGGACUGGAGGCAAACUUUAGCUCCCAGGUCAUCUCCUGAAAGAGGCUGUCUUGAUAAUAAUUUCAGGAUGUCCACAGGAUAGUGUUUGCUUAUUUAUUUAUUUAUUAAAUUUAUUUUUAUUUCCCCCCUCAGAUUCCUUUUAUAAACAAUGAAUUUGUUUGCUGUUCAUUUAAAGACGCUUCCUCUGAGCUCAGUAAUAUAAGAAGAUCUGUACUGGACAAACUCAAAGAUUUGUCCAUCCCAGUGUCUUGUCUCCAUCAUUGGCAGUAACAGAAAUCCCAUCUGUGUUUUUGAUAACAUUCUGGAACAAGUUCAGUGGCGAUCUUAAGAUCCAUAUGGAUCUUAUUAUAGUCUUUCUUGCUAUGGGACUCUGUGAAUUGAGGUUUGUGCCCAGUGCACCGUGCCAAUAAGCACACAGAGUUGGAAUCCACACAAAAGUCUUCUUCGAGGCUUCAUCUUCAAGGCUUCAUCUUCAGUGGCUGUCCAUCUCUUUCCUGCAUUAACCAGUCUGUACACCAGUCUGAUGAUGGUACCUUGGGUAAGUUUUUUUUUUUUCUUUUUUUUUCUCUUUGUGGUUAUCUUUGCCAUCCUUAUAGGGUCAUUUCACUUUCAGAAAGCCCUCCACACCUUUCAGUGUCUUUCUGAACAACAUUACUUCAUUUGAAAUCUAUGCUUAGAACUAGUUCAUUGUAUGAAACAGUCAUGAUAGUAAUUCGUCCAGGGGAAAUUGCUUUUCCAAAGGUGGAGAAGUUAAUUAAGUGUAUAACAGGAGGAAGCUAAACCUUACUAAUUAGUGAGAAGGGUAACGAUUAUGGGAGAGAACGGAUGACACUUGGCUGAAGACGAACUCAAGAAAUUGCUUUAGCCAAAAGGAAGUUAGAAGAGUGAAUAGAAGAUGAGCUUUAAGAAAGCAAAGACUGUCGCUGUGUCCUGAUAAAUUAUACCUCAUUUAUAGUGUGUCUGCUAGAUGUUAAUCAAUAAUACGUCGGGAUGAUCCUUCACUCUUAGGCACGUAGCCUGCUCUCUGUUUUAUAGAAUUUCACUUAAAUCCUUUGGGUUCUCUCCCUGGGAGGAUGUACUAAAUGAAAGGGUAGCAACUCUUACACACAACUGUAAGAAUGUUUACAGGGGUUCUGAACUUCUGCAGUGAAGAAAGGGCAGCACCAGAGCUUGGCUCUGCUAGCCCCUUGGAAAGGCAAGGACAGUUGAUCCUGGCAGGCCUACUGACAGUGAAUUGUACAGCCAUAGCACCCAUAUCAUAGCAAAAUCAGAUGCCAAAAUAUUGGCUUCAGAUUGCUCAUCUCUUACACUGCUG
rnacentral:lncRNA from 1 species